GACAAACAGUGACAUUUUUAUCUCUUUCCUUAAAAAUAGCAAUAGCGACCUUCUCUCUCCUUUCUCCUUCUUCUCUCUUCUCCACCACCACCCUAGCAAACCCUACACAGACAAGCUCCAACUACCCUCUGCGCAACCAUCUCCAAUGCCCCGAAAAUUUACAAAAUAGUGAAAUUAACAUAAUUUCGGGGAUAAAAAUUCAAAAAUCUUUCAAUUCAUCAUGAUAGCUAUGGAAAAAAUGGAUAUUUGGAUUUGAAAUUCAAGUCCUAUCUCGAUUCUUGCAAUGUUCUUCAAUUUUGGCUUCAAAUACAGACUUUCAAGUUCAAAUUUCACCUAUAAAAGAGGUGUUCUUCAACCCCAGAGGACAAGCUUGAAAAUUGGAAAAAGGACAGUAAAAUUCGAAAGAAAUAAAAAGAGUGAGAAAAGAAAUAAAGGAAAAGCAGGAUAAAAAGAAAAAGAAUUGACGAAGAAGCAAAAGAUUCAUGAGGAAAUAUCUGAGUUCGGAAUCCUGUAUCGAAUCUGUGCUCGCCGGAAAGUUCUUGACGUCAACGCUCCAGUUUUGCUGCCCCACACAAGGUACCAUAUGUAACUUUCACAUCAGGGUCAGACAAUUUGCAGCUUUCAGCCAGUAGGUGAUGAGUUCUCCUAUUUCAAGAACUCUAGACAGUUGUAGAUCAUCUACUAUAUUUUUUAUUUUCAUAUGUAUUGAUUAGUGGUAGUUGGAGGCAUGUCCUAGUUAUUUAUAGUCAGUAUAGUAGGGGUUUCAUAGAUGUCAGUCAGAGUCAAUCAUGUAAUUGAGUUUCUUUCUUUAGUUUUAUCAUGAUGUAAAUUGUAUCAGCAUUAACUUUAUUCAGAUUUUUCAUGAGUAUGCUUCCGCUCAGCAAAUUAGGUUUUGUUAUACAUAUUAAAUCAGUUGCUCAA